GCGCGGUGGGGGGGGGGCGCCGCCUGCUGUCACUGGGGGCUGGGAAGUAGCUGCUUCGCGGUUUCUGGAUUUAAAGAAAUGUUCAGAAUACGAGGAAUAAAGCUUGCUUUUUGCAUUUUCAUUUAUUUAUUUUGUUUUCAUUUGUAAUAAUAAUGAUUUUUUUCUUUAUUGUGAUGUUUUAUUAUUGCUCGUUUUAUUACUUUUGUUUGGCUUGUUUUCUUUACUAGAUAUGUCAUGUUAAUUCGGUAAGGGUUGUGGGACUGGGGCUGAAACACCAGUUGUGAGAGCAGUGGGGACAUAAAACCCCAGGGUGUGGAAUAAUGAUUUUGGCAUGAGUCAGGCCCAAAACAAUGUGGAGGGGUGGAAAUGCUGAGGCUAGAUAAAUGCCAUGGGAGGAAGGCAUGGAGCUGCAGCACAGGGCCUGCAGGUUAUGCCUGGGGGUUCCCAGCCCCUGCCCUGUGGUACCAACGAGGGGCUGAGGGUGUGGGGGCUCAGAGGGUUCUAGGGCCCAAGAACCAGCCCAAGAGUGCCUUUUGGGAUGGGGGGGCAGGAGUCCAGUGGCUGUUCCCAGCCCCCGGAGCUGCCUGAGGGGAGGUGAGGGGGCCUUUGUGCAGGUGCUGGGCUGAGAGCCAGGGUGAGGGGGAGGGUGGAUGUUGAGCUUCAGGCUUCCAGUGUCCCCAGAGUUGGGAUGCCACUUAGGGCUGGGUGGGUGGAUGGGAGAGCUUCUAGAGAUACUGAAAUUGUAAUGAUGGCAGUAACUGAUUUGUGGCCUUAUCAACAGCCCCAAGGUGCAGUGAGAAGCAUGAGCAGCUUUUAGCUGCAGCCAGUAGGAAGCUGAGGAGCUGGAGCUGAGGCAGCAGAGCUGGAGGAGACAGAAAUAUGGGAAAAGUUAGUGCACCUAGCCUGUAAAUGUGAAAAAAAAAUCAACUUUUAAGGCUGUUGCAGUUACUUGUUUAUUUUGCAUAAUUAGCGGGAGUAAUGGUGUAGCGAGGAUUCACCUCCUCACAUGAAAAUAUUAAAGGAAUUUUGUUGACAA